AUGGAGGAGGUGCGCAUCCUGGAGGAGACCACGGCCAUCAAGCUCCCCGACUUCCUCCCAAGGUCGGCGUUCCUCGUCCUGCUCAAGAAGAAGGUCCAGACCGUCGUGCAGGUGCCGCACGACCUCGUCCGCGAGGUCUGGGACUAUGUCGAGGACCUGACGCUCAAGGUGCUGCUGGAGCACUCGAACGACUUCCCGCAGGUGCAGCCGUCAUGCCGCCGCGCGGUCCAGAGCAUGAUGGACAAGGCACGAGCGCAGUCGGCGCGGCACGUCACGGAGCUGAUCGACAUGGAGCUUGUGGCCGACUACACCUACAAUCCCGACUACAGCAAGACAUGGUCCGAGCUCAUGGAAGGGUACGGCAAGUUCAUGGAGGCCGUGAAAGACCGCACCAAACCCACGGCCGUCACCCUCAAGGGCUUCGGGAAGGUGGAGGUGGCGCACCUGAGGAACCACGACGACCUGGCCGGGCAGGCGUUCGACAUGCGGGCUCGCCUCGCCUCGUACUGGAAGAGCAUCGUGCUCCGGCUCGUCGAUGGGAUGGCGCUCCUCGUACUGCGCGCCGUCAAGCGGCUCGCCGAGAACGACCUCGAGGUGGCGCUCUCUGACGAGCUCCUAGGGAACAACAUGGCCGGGGUGGAGCGGAUGCUCGCGCCGUCGCCCGGCACCGGCAGCAAGCGCCAGCGCCUCAAGAAGAGCAUCGUAUUGCUUCAGCAGUCCAAGGAGGCCGUGGCUGACAUCAUGGACAGGAUUAGCGCGGCAGGGGAAGUGUAG
rnacentral:rRNA from 1 species